rnacentral:rRNA from 1 species
ACGCUCGACACCUACGGGGGGCAGCAGUGGGGAAUAUUGCACAAUGGGGGAAACCCUGAUGCAGCAACGCCGCGUGAAGGAAGAAGGUUUUCGGAUCGUAAACUUCUAUCAAUAGGGAAGAAAGAAAUGACGGUACCUAAAUAAGAAGCCCCGGCUAACUACGUGCCAGCAGCCGCGGUAAUCUGAGCGGGCUGGCAAGGC